ensembl:lncRNA
GUUACGGCCUCCCCAUGAUGCCCCACUAUCAGCCCAACCCCUACAUGGAGCCCCCCCGGGUUCGUUGUGCCCACCACCCACCUCCAUUUGAUGGACUACCGCCGCAUGCUCAACCCCCAGUACUACCAGACCAUGGCCUACCACUCCCGCCGGUUCCGCUACCAGCAGAACACCCCGACCAGGGAGACGACCAGCUCGGAGGUCCAAACCGAGCCGCUGUCCGCCGCCCAGAAGGCCGGCGCCUCGGGUCCCGGCGACGUGCCGGUUCCCGUCGGCCUCCCGGUCCGCAAAGGGGGUGACGACCGAACCCCCGGCGUCUCCGUCAAGGGGCUUCCCUCGCCGGCCCCGUCCACGCACAAGUCAGACCCCGCUGCGGACCAGAAGGACGUGGCUGGACCCGGCUCCGUCCCCAGGAAGCAGCCGGGCGGCAGCUUCGUGUUCCAGACGGAGGAGGUGCGGAUCGAAUGCUGCAGCACGCCGGUGGGACUGCAGCUCCUGCACGCUCACGAGACCAAAGAGGUGUCCCACGGCUUCACCCAGGACGUGGUCCAGCGCAGCGGCCCCGUCCUCCAGGGUUGGCGGGACGAGGAGAGCUGCGUACCCAGCGAGCAGGCCCUCCAAGCCUGUCCCGACAGCAUGUCUGUCGGCGAGACGCCGCCGCCGACGGAAGAGCCCGAGACUCCGGUGGAUCCUGUCGUUGUUUCAUCGGAAGACGACGACAACGACGACUCCCCCCGUCCGCCGGCUCGCAGCGACGUUCAAGAGACGAGCGACGAGAAAGACCCGUCCGAGACUUGCCCCUUCAAAGUCGUCCACCUGCCCUUUGACCCAAAGUACCUGGACGAGCUGUGGAAGAUGGAGUCCACGGUCUGGUCCAUGAAGGAAACGGCGAGUCCCUCCUCGGAAUCGCUGAUCCAAAACAGCCGCCCGGAAUCUCCUGACGGAAUAGAAGACGUCUCGCCCGUGAUUGGGACUCCCCCCGUGGCAGAGGACGAACUGGACGACAUGGUCACCGCUGUGGGGGAGCGUCCCGGGGACGAGGUGGCGUCAGAGGCCGACGCGUGCCCCGCCAUGGACGUCCCCGGCGCGGCGGAGGCUCCUGCGACGCCGCUCCCCGCGGCGGACUAUUCGCCGCUGAAGGCGGACGGAAACGAGCACCAGGACACGUCCUUCGAGUCGCUGCCCGCCUACCUGCCGUCGACCAGCUGGCUCGCUGACUUCGACAACGUCUACUAUUGCGGCACGAUGCCGCCAAUGCCCACGAAGCAGAGCAGGCCUGCGGGCGGCCGGGGCCUGGACAUGCCCGCCAGGAGGCGGCGGCUGGACCUCGACUGCAAAGGCCAACUCGCCGUUCGGAAGCCGAAAGAAAGGUACAAACUCAAAGGGAAGGCGGAUCGCCGAAGCCUCUCCGACCACGAGUGCUGCCUCAGCCGGAGCUUCAACGAGAACGCCUUCGCUCCCCACGCCUCCAAGAGGGAGCGGCUUUGCUCCAGGUGCGUGGCCAGGAGCGGCGUGUGCGAGCCCGCCGGGCCGACGCUCGACGGUCGCGCCCCGAAGAGGAAAGCCGCCGUCUUCCAGCAGUGGAACGACCCGCUCCUGCCCACGUGCGACGCCUGCAGAUCGCACUCCGAAAAGAAAAGGCUGGCGAGGAAGGGCUCCGGCCCGGAGGCCCGAUGCCCUCCCCGCGGGCGCGACUCUGAGGGGGGCGAGUCCUCCGAGAACGGCGCCAAGUGGAGGGCCGUCGCAGAGCGCCGCGGGAAGCCGAACGUCACCAAGAUGCCGCUGGCGUCCAAGCAGAACCUGGAGAAGCCGAGGGAGAAGAACUGCACGUGCAGCGAGCGCCGGUCAGUCGCGUGGGAGAGGCUGCGCCGCUGUCCCCACGGCAACGCCAUCCGGGAAACCGACGAGAACCGCGCGGCGCCGGUGUCCCUGCAGGACAAACGCAGGAUAAUGGAUCACCUUUAUCCAACACACAGGUGGCAGACGGAGAACGUGUGGAACGCAGCCAUCGCUCACCCCGACAGCGACGCCGCCAGGACGCCGCAUUUUAACAACCACAAGAAAUCACAAUCACAAGGAAUUUGUAGGAAAGACACAAGAUGCUGAUUUGCACAAGAGCACAAUGUAAAAAUUACACUUUUUAACUAUAUAUAUAUAUUUAUUAUGUACACUUGAAUUAAAUUAUUGCCACCUGAAUGAACUGUAUAAUCACAAUGUGACACUAUUUAACGUAAUAAACACCACUAUUUGAUACUUCUGUUGGUCCUUUUUCUAUGACGUUUAUGGAGUUGUGUUUGUCCACCAGAUGGAACUAUAACAUUAAACAUUUAAUGCUGAUUUAAGACCGUAGCAUUUCCUUUAAGAUGUGCUUUCGUCAAUCGAAGUAUCUGCAACAGUUUGGAGGGAUUGAAGUGAAACCACCUGUGACUUCGUCCCUCAGGUGGACGCAUCACAUCCAGUUUGCACAUGAUUCAAUAAACGAGUUUACUUUGAUCAUAAAACUCAGCAUCUUACCUGAAGACUUUAGUGUACCGACGUGUUCAGGUGAGUCUAAGCUGCGACCAGGAUUUAAGUUUUAGCUGUGUUUAAACGGAGCAGUAUUCUUUAACCCAAACGUAACUAAAAUAUCUCCUUCAGGUGAUCUUCACCGUACCCAGAGGAUGAAUCCUACCGAAGUAGUUUCAGAGGAAAUGUUUCCACAUGUACUUGAUGGAUUGCCAUGCAAUAUGGUGUCAACGUUCAAAUCUUCCUCAGGAUUUCUUUUAAUAACUUGGCCUUGGAUCCAUUACCUGACCCCCCCCCCCGGUUGAGCGAUAUUGCCGCUUCAAAGGAAAAAUUAACAAUUACAAAUGCUGUAAAUGAAUCAUGGGCUGAACUGUUAAAGUUCAUCUGGCUUUCAAGCCUUUUGGAUCAGAUAAUUUUACCAAUGAAACAGGUAAUGUGUCCUUUUCUGGCUGCAAGUUGAAACCCCCCCCCCUUUUUUUCCCAAAAGUAUUUGAGAGGUUCCUUGACGCCCCUGAUGGGAUGAAGGGAGGCCAAACGUGAUUUCCCUCCACGAUGGUGUUUUUUCUUGAGAUUGGACUGCUUGUCUCGUAUCUGGUCGACUCGGUUCCCGCUUCAAUCUUCAUGACGGCGGCUUUAUGAGUGAAUGCAAAAGACGUAAUUGGGGGGGUCCAUGUGUUCCGAUGUAUGGACCCAAGGAAGUGCUUUCUUUUGUGUCUUUGCAGCAGUCGGUUGAGUCUUCGUAAUCAUUUUGUGUGUCUGGCUGUUUUUCCCCUUUGACUAUCGGAGUCGUUUCUUUCUUUGUCGUUGCAUUGGGUGUCUUUGUAGUCUCUUUGCUUAUUUAAGAAUGAAUUCUUUUUCAUUUUAAAAUAGAGCGCAUCAGGAGAGCAACAUGAGCGCAUGUGUCCUCCACACCGACACCCACGGAACAUCUAAAUAAGAAUAUUGAGCCUGAAUGAGGCUGCGGCGACAAAACGCCUCGUUCAGCGGACCUGAAAUAACACAUUUUAUUCUUCGGCCUCAGGAGAGUCCACGCGUGAAGGUCCCUGCAGUCUGAAGGACAUGAUGGAUGCUCCUCUGAAGGCUCCCUUCUGUCAUCCAGACGCCCCAAUUAGAGGCCCGGCCACGGCUGGCCACUCCGGGCCGAGAGGCGGCGGGUGGAGGAGGGAGGCGGCGGGUGGAGGGGGGGUGGCAGCGUUUUUCAUGACGCGUUCCUGCGUGGCUCAGUGGCACAUUGGCAGCGUUAGAGGGUUCGAUUUCCACCGGGCUUUGUGCACGAGCAGUAUGAGCAUUAACUGUUUCAUUUCCUG